rnacentral:tRNA from 1 species
AAAUAAGAAGUAAAAAAUUACAUUUAGUUUCGACCUAAAAUUUUGACUUAAGUCCUUAUUUU